GACGAACGCUGGCGGCGUGCCUAAUACAUGCAAGUAGAACGCAGUUACGAACGGGUGAGUAACGCGUAGGUAACUGCCUCAUAGCGGGGGAUAACUAUUGGAAACCUUAUCUAAUACCGCAUACUGUGAGCUGGACCUGCGUUGUAUUAGCUAGUUGGUGAGGUAAAGGGUCACCAAGGCGACGAUACAUAGCCGACCUGGGCGGGGGAUCGGGCAACAUGGGAACUAGAAAAGGCCCAGACGCCUACGGGAGGAAGCAGGAGGGAAGUUUCGGACAUGGACGGAAGUCUGAACGAGAAAAGCCGCGGUAGUGAAGAAGGUUUUCGGAUCGGAAAGCUCUGUUGUGAGAGAAGCGGUAACUAAACAGAAAGGGACGGCUAACUACGUGCCAGCAGCCGCGGUAAUUC
rnacentral:rRNA from 1 species